rnacentral:rRNA from 1 species
UUGCAAGGAUCAUUGUCGAACCCUGCAUAGCAGAACGACCUGUGAACAUGUAACACAUUUGGGUGAUUUGGAGAUGGGCCUUGGUCCUUAUCCUCAUCACCUCCCGGCAUGUGUGGGUGCUGCCUCGUUUGGGGUGUCAUGUGCUCAUGUUGGAAUGAAACAAACCCCGGCACGGCAUGUGCCAAGGAAAACAAAAAAUGAGAAGGACUCGUCUUGUCUUGCCCCGUUCGCGGUGUGCAUGCUGGUCGUGGACUCUUUGUAAUUACAAACGACUCUCGGCAACGGAUAUCUCGGCUCACGCAUCGAUGAAGAACGUAGCAAAAUGCGAUACUUGGUGUGAAUUGCAGAAUCCCGUGAACCAUCGAGUUUUUGAACGCAAGUUGCGCCCGAAGCCAUCUGGCCGAGGGCACGCCUGCCUGGGCGUCACGCAUCGCGUCGCUCCCAACCAAACUCACCCAAUGGGUAGUUAUGGUGUUGGGGGCGGAGAUUGGUCUCCCGUACUUGUUAUGGUUGGCCUAAAAAGAAGUCCUCUUCAGCGGACACACGAUUAGUGGUGGUUGAACAGACCCUCGUCUUUAUCGUGUGUCGUGAGCUGUUAGGGAGGCCCCCAUCAAAGACCCAAUUGUAUCGUUUUCGGACGAUGCUUCGACCGCGACCCC